AUGCUUCAGCUCUCACCCCUGCUUCCUCUCUUUGCCAGAGAGAAGUGCUAUCAGCUACUAAAAGUGAAUACUAAAUGGCCUAUCUAUGUAAGAGAUUCUCAGAGGGAAGCCCAAAGCCCAGGAAGAAAUGAUGGACCAGAAACCACAGGACAUGCUCGAAGACUCGCUGCAUGGUGGAUGGCCCAGAGACGGCGGGGCUCACAGACGGUCACGUUUAGUGCUUGCAGAUUGGUAAUGUCUGUGCCCUUGGCUUUGUUUAUUCUGGUCAUACAAUGAUCAACCAGUUCUCAGUGCUGCCAUCGAGGGCUUUCUGGACAGCAUGGCACCUUCCAUAAGGAGACCUUGGCUUCAGUAGCUAGUCCAGGUAUGUACAAUGACAGUCACACACUCGCAUUAUGGUGUAUAGCAGUACUGUGCUUCCUGACAAGAACCUAACCACUGAUGAAAGGGUUGUGAUAUUUGGGAGGGUGCUGGUAUCAUUUCCAGACCAUCAUGGGAGGGAGAGAAUCAUGUAGCAGAUAAUGUGUGUCUCCUGCUUUGGGUGAGCCUUACUCCUUGAUGAUUUGAAUAAGUCUGUGGAGUCAGGCAAGUGUAAGGGUAUUCUGGUGUGACCCUGGUAGAAACAAGAGUAUCAGCUGGCACGUAAUUGGUCACUCUUCCUGCUUUUGCUCCAGAGACGAUUCCUUGACCGACACAUCUUGCUGACAAAUGUCGGGCUGUCUUGCUUCAUAGUGGGAAGUUCACUGAGAAAUACCUGGGUUUUGUUUCUGAUGCCUAGCACUUGGCUUGCUCAUCUGCAGGAGAGUUGUUAUCCUAACGGAUGCUGGGAGAAGGCUGAGGUCUUCCCAUGACCCUCUUUGGGGAUUUUGAUUUUAUUUAAGUUAAAUUUUUUUCAAAAGUUAAAUUCUUAUUAAUAUCCCAACUUCAUGCUCCACAAAUUGGUCAAGAACAGUGACAAGAGAAUCCAUGCGGGCUGUUGUGCAGAUUUUAGAGAGCUGAUAAAGAUAUCACGAGGAUGAGCAAUCUUCCCAACUGGAAGAGUGGAGACUGGGGGUGCUCUUAAAGUAGGGCUAGCCGGUGUACCUAGGGACUGGAUGAGCCAACAUCAGAUGUGAACAUGUAGGAAGAGGAGGGGCCAAAGUAGUAUAACUGUAAUGUUGGCGGAACCACAAUCCCUGAAUGAUUCAGUGGGCUGCAGGGAGCAUCCUUGCUGGUAUCAUGGCUAUCUCAGCUAAGGCAAUGACCCUGGAUGGUCUGAAAGGUUGCUAAGAUGGAA
rnacentral:lncRNA from 1 species